rnacentral:rRNA from 1 species
UACGGAGGGUGCAAACGUUGCUCGGAAUCAUUGGGCGUAAAGCGCACGUAGGCGGCCCGCUAAGUCGGAUGUGAAAUCCCUCGGCUCAACCGAGGACGUGCAUUCGAUACUGGCAGGCUUGAAUAUGGAAGAGGGUCGCGGAAUUCCCGGUGUAGAGGUGAAAUUCGUAGAUAUCGGGAGGAACACCAGUGGCGAAGGCGGCGAUCUGGGAAGAUACUGACGCUGAGGUGCGAAAGCGUGGGGAGCAAACAGG